UAGGGAAUCUUCGGCAAUGGACGAAAGUCUGACCGAGCAACGCCGCGUGAGUGAAGAAGGUUUUCGGAUCGUAAAACUCUGUUGUUAGAGAAGAAAAAGGACGUUAGUAACUGAACGUCCCCUGACGGUAUCUAACCAGAAAGCCACGGCUAACUACGUGCCAGCAGCCGCGGUAAUACGUAGGUGGCAAGCGUUGUCCGGAUUUAUUGGGCGUAAAGCGAGCGCAGGCGGUUUCUUAAGUCUGAUGUGAAAGCCCCCGGCUCAACCGGGGAGGGUCAUUGGAAACUGGGAGACUUGAGUGCAGAAGAGGAGAGUGGAAUUCCAUGUGUAGCGGUGAAAUGCGUAGAUAUAUGGAGGAACACCAGUGGCGAAGGCGGCUCUCUGGUAUGUGACUGACGCUGAGGCACGAAAGCGUGGGGAGCAAACAGG
rnacentral:rRNA from 1 species